rnacentral:misc_RNA from 1 species
AAGUCGUAACAAGGUUUCCGUAGGUGAACCUGCGGAAGGAUCAUUAUUGAGCGUUCAGGGUCCUCUCGGGCCCGACCUCCAACCCCAUGUGUACUUGUCCCGGUUGCUUCGGUGGCUCUGGCCUCUUUUUUUUUCAGGGGGGUUACCCGCCUGAGGAUCUAUACAAACUCUGGUGUGUACUGUGCCGUCUGAGUCUUUUAGCGGAUUAAAAUAAA